AGGGCGGAAUCUGAAAAGCCAUAAGAGUAAGAA
rnacentral:ncRNA from 1 species